rnacentral:lncRNA from 1 species
ACCAGCCUACCUUGGCAUCCCCGAAUUCCCUCUAUUUCACUUACACUUGUUCCUAGACUCUAAGUUCUGCCCUCUCCAAUGAUCCUUGCCUUGGGACCUUGAGUUCCCUCUGAACAUGGACAUUGGAGGGUUGGCCCUUCCACACUGCACCGUAAAUCAUUUCUGCAAUGAUAUCUGGGUGUAUGCAUUUCCUGGGGUUCUUGAAACUCCUUGGAACUUUGAUGCACUCCAGAUAAGCAACAGGACUUGGAAAUCAUGAUCACAGAAGUUUGAUUCAUCUCAUGUUGUUAGAUAUUAAGUCUAAAUUAG